rnacentral:rRNA from 1 species
CUUGGUCAUUUAGAGGAAGUAAAAGUCGUAACAAGGUCUCCGUAGGUGAACCUGCGGAGGGAUCAUUACAAGUGACCCCGGUCUAACCACCGGGAUGUUCAUAACCCUUUGUUGUCCGACUCUGUUGCCUCCGGGGCGACCCUGCCUUCGGGCGGGGGCUCCGGGUGGACACUUCAAACUCUUGCGUAACUUUGCAGUCUGAGUAAACUUAAUUAAUAAAUUAAAACUUUUAACAACGGAUCUCUUGGUUCUGGCAUCGAUGAGGAACGCAGCGAAAUGCGAUAAGUAAUGUGAAUUGCAGAAUUCAGUGAAUCAUCGAAUCUUUGAACGCACAUUGCGCCCCCUGGUAUUCCGGGGGGCAUGCCUGUUCGAGCGUCAUUUCACCACUCAAGCCUCGCUUGGUAUUGGGCAACGCGGUCCGCCGCGUGCCUCAAAUCGACCGGCUGGGUCUUCUGUCCCCUAAGCGUUGUGGAAACUAUUCGCUAAAGGGUGUUCGGGAGGCUACGCCGUAAAACAACCCCAUUUCUAAGGUUGACCUCGGAUCAGGUAGGGAUACCCGCUGAACUUAAGCAUAUCAAUAAGCGGAGGA